rnacentral:lncRNA from 1 species
UAAAUAACAUAACUAAGCAUUCAUAUAACCCUUCACUUAUCUAGAAUGUAGUCUUCUAUUCAUCUCCAUGCCUUAUGCAAAUAUGAUGAUAUCCGCUACAGAGAUCAAUUUUUUAGAAUAUCUUGAAGCUUUAUAGUUGAUCCAACAUAUCUUCUAGUCAAGGUAUGGGAAUGCGAUACAUGGCUAUGAUUUUGUUAAUGACUUUGCUAUCCACACACAUCCUUUAUCUUUGAUCUUUUUUGGGUGUCAACAAAGCUAGGGCAACAUGGGCUCGUACUUUCUUGAAUAUAUCCCUUCCACAUCAAUUCUUCUACCUUCUCCCUCAGUAUUUCAUUCUAUUUUGGGUUCAUCUAGUAGUGAGAUAAAUUUUGUAGACUUGCUCCUAGAGCCAAAUCAUUUUUGGUGCUGUAUAUCUCUAAUGGGUGGAAGUCUAUUUAAUAAUUCUUCAAGAGUAAUCUCUUUGAAUUCUUCCAACAUCGAUCUUAAUUCUUUUGGAAUCUUUGCUUUAGGUGGCUUUUCUCCCUUCACAAUAAAAGUAUAGCAUACUCUUGUUUCUAUAGAACGGACAAUAAAUUCUUACAUAGAGUUGGAAAUAGAUAUGAAAGACUUUUCUUCCACUUUAGAAGUGUUGGAUUUAUCUCCCUUUUUGUUAGUCGGUCGAAUGACAAUCUUCUUAUCGUUCUACCAAAAUAUAUAAACAUUCUUUCUUCCAAGAUGUGUUUCAUCUUUUUUGGGUGUCAACAAAGCUAGGGCAACAUGGGCUCGUACUUUCUUGAAUAUAUCCCUUCCACAUCAAUUCUUCUACCUUCUCCCUUAGUAUUUCAUUCUAUUUUGGGUUCAUCUAGUAGUGAGAUAAAUUUGAUAGACUUGCUCCUAGAGCCAAAUCAUUUUAGUGCUGUAUAUCUCUCAUGGGUGGAAGUCUAUUUAGUAAUUCUUCAAGAGUAAUCUCUUUGAAUUCUUCCAACAUCGAUCUUAAUUCUUUUGGAAUCUUUGCUUUAGGUGGCUUUUCUCCCUUCAAGUAUAACAUACUCUUGUUUCUAUAGAACGGACAAUAAAUUCUUACAUAGAGUUGGAAAUAGAUAUGAAAGACUUUCCUUCCACUUUAGAAGUGUUGGAUUUAUCUCCCUUUUUGUUAGUCGGUAGAAUGACAAUCUUCUUACCGUUCUACCAAAAUAUAUAGACAUUCUUUCUUCCAAGAUGGGUUGCAUUCACAUCAUACUGCCAUGGCCUUCCAAGUAGCAUAUGACAUACAUCUAUGUCAACUAUUUUACAUAUAACUUUUUCCUUGUAACUUUUCUUAAUUGAGAGAGGAACUCUACAGAUCUUAGUUAUAGUGAUAGUUGGGUCUUCUUUAAUCCACCUUAGCUUGUAUGGUAUUGGAUGGGCUUUCAUCUAUAAUUUUAAGCAUCUCACCAGUGAUUUGGAUAUAAUAUUGUCAUAGGUUACAUUGUUUAUAAUCAAUGCGCAAACUUUGUUAUGAAUAGUAUAUUGAGAAUGAAAUAUUUUCUUAUAUUGAGAUAGAUCUUCUUGCCUUGGGAUGAGUAAUAAUCUUUUUACAAUACAUGCGAUAUGUUUCCCUUCUUCCUUUGCUAUUUCAGCAUUAUCAAUAUCAUUAAUCGUAUCAUCUUGGGCAUCUCUUUCUUUUUCAAAGUCAUUUUGUGAUGUACGGUUGAUAGUUUUACAAGCAUGACACUCGUUGGAACGAUGACUAGGUUCCCCACAUUUGAAAUAUUUUCUAACCAAGGGUUGAGCAUAUCGAUUAUUUGAGGUAAUUAGGAUAUGCUUAGCUUCCCUUGUUGCUCCUCCAAUGUUUGUGCCUUGAUUUAUUGGUUGUAUUUCAACCUUUAAUGCCAUAUUGUG